GAUGAACGCUAGCUACAGGCUUAACACAUGCAAGUCGAGGGGAAACGACAUCGAAAGCUUGCUUUUGAUGGGCGUCGACCGGCGCACGGGUGAGUAACGCGUAUCCAACCUGCCCAUCACUUGGGAAUAACCUUGCGAAAGUAAGACUAAUACCCAAUGACAUCCCACGAAGACAUCUGAAUAGGAUUAAAGAUUUAUCGGUGAUGGAUGGGGAUGCGUCUGAUUAGCUUGUUGGCGGGGUAACGGCCCACCAAGGCAACGAUCAGUAGGGGUUCUGAGAGGAAGGUCCACCACAUUGGAACUGAGACACGGUCCAAACGCCUACGGGAGGCAGCAGUGAGGAAUAUUGGGCAAUGGGCGAGAGCCUGAACCAGCCAAGUAGCGUGCAGGAUGACGGCCCUAUGGGUUGUAAACUGCUUUUAUAAGGGAAUAAAGUGGGUCUCGUGAGACUUUUUGCAUGUACCUUAUGAAUAAGGACCGGCUAAUUCCGUG
rnacentral:rRNA from 1 species